rnacentral:rRNA from 1 species
GUGAACGCUGGCGGUAGGCCUAACACCUGCAAGUCGAACGGCAGCACAGUAAGAGCUUGCUCUUACGGGUGGCGAGUGGCGGACGGGUGAGGAAUACAUCGGAAUCUACUUUUUCGUGGGGGAUAACGUAGGGAAACUUACGCUAAUACCGCAUACGACCUACGGGUGAAAGCAGGGGAUCUUCGGACCUUGCGCGAUUGAAUGAGCCGAUGUCGGAUUAGCUAGUUGGCGGGGUAAAGGCCCACCAAGGCGACGAUCCGUAGCUGGUCUGAGAGGAUGAUCAGCCACACUGGAACUGAGACACGGUCCAGACUCCUACGGGAGGCAGCAGUGGGGAAUAUUGGACAAUGGGCGCAAGCCUGAUCCAGCCAUACCGCGUGGGUGAAGAAGGCCUUCGGGUUGUAAAGCCCUUUUGUUGGGAAAGAAAAGCAGCAGGUUAAUACCCCGCUGUUCUGACGGUACCCAAAGAAUAAGCACCGGCUAACUUCGU